rnacentral:lncRNA from 1 species
CAAUAGCUUAGUGUCUUAGAGAGGGGUAUGAUGAUUGGAUGUCACAUUUCAGGCUUGUCAAUAUGGAACAUUGUUGCCACAUUAAGUCAUCCGAAGUAAAUGGGUGAUGACAUUAUCACAAAGUGGAAAUGUGAAGGUGUCACAUUUUCGUUUCGUUUCUUGUGCUCAGAAAUGGCCCGGUUGCCCUAAGAAAUUAAUGGAGAGGGAGUGGCAGGCCCUGAAGAGGAUGGCAGUCACAAACUGUCUGAAACUGGUGGACAUCCUCCACAUGGGGUUCGGAAGUGCUACAGGGAUAUCUGUUUCAGUCCAUACGAUCAGAACAGAACUUCAUGC